rnacentral:rRNA from 1 species
UGGGGAAUAUUGCACAAUGGGCGCAAGCCUGAUGCAGCCAUGCCGCGUGUGUGAAGAAGGCCUUCGGGUUGUAAAGUACUUUCAGCGGGGAGGAAGGGAGUAAAGUUAAUACCUUUGCUCAUUGACGUUACCCGCAGAAGAAGCACCGGCUAACUCCGUGCCAGCAGCCGCGGUAAUACGGAGGGUGCAAGCGUUAAUCGGAAUUACUGGGCGUAAAGCGCACGCAGGCGGUUUGUUAAGUCAGAUGUGAAAUCCCCGGGCUCAACCUGGGAACUGCAUCUGAUACUGGCAAGCUUGAGUCUCGUAGAGGGUGGUAGAAUUCCAGGUGUAGCGGUGAAAUGCGUAGAGAUCUGGAGGAAUACCGGUGGCGAAGGCGGCCCCCUGGACGAAGACUGACGCUCAGGUGCGAAAGCGUGGGGAGCAAACAGG